rnacentral:lncRNA from 1 species
AAUGCUUGCUUUGAGAUUGAUGAUAGGAAAUUCGUAUUGCUUUAAUAGCCGUGCGGAGCGGGGAUGACAUCGCGAAAGAAGAUGGAUCGUUCUUUCGCGCCAAAGAUACGACCCGAACCCCCAAGGAGGCUUCACUUAAUUGACCGUGCCAUGUGACACACUACGCGGUGCUCUAUAUCUGUCGUGCUGCACAUGGUGGGGCCCGCUAAAGCACCCA